UACGACGGGUGCAAGCGUUACUCGGAAUUACUGGGCGUAAAGCGUGCGUAGGUGGUUCGUUAAGUCUGAUGUGAAAGCCCUGGGCUCAACCUGGGAAUGGCAUUGGAUACUGGCGACCUAGAGUGCGGUAGAGGGUAGCGGAAUUCCCGGUGUAGCAGUGAAAUGCGUAGAUAUCGGGAGGAACAUCCGUGGCGAAGGCGGCUACCUGGACCAGCACUGACACUGAGGCACGAAAGCGUGGGGAGCAAACAGG
rnacentral:rRNA from 1 species